AGCUCCAAUAGCGUAUAUUAAAGUUGUUGCAGUUAAAAAGCUCGUAGUUGGAUUUCGGGAUGGGCCAGUCGGUCUGCCGCAAGGUAUGUUACUGGCUGGUCUGUCCUUCUUCGCAAAGACUGCGUGUGCUCUUAACUGAGUGUGCGUAGGAUUUGCGACGUUUACUUUGAAAAAAUUAGAGUGUUCAAAGCAGGCUAACCGCUUGAAUACAUGAGCAUGGAAUAAUGGAAUAGGACUUUGGUUCUAUUUUGUUGGUUUCUGGAACUGAAGUAAUGAUUAAGAGGGACAGUUGGGGGCAUUCGUAUUUCGUUGUCAGAGGUGAAAUUCUUGGAUUUACGAAAGACGAACAACUGCGAAAGCAUUUGCCAAGAAUGUUUUCAUUAAUCAAGAACGAAAGUAC
rnacentral:rRNA from 1 species